AUUUCGGAACAUGAAAAACAUAACAAUUAAUUUUUUAUCGUCCGUUUUUCUCACAUCUCUAAACCUAUUUACAUAAUACAUCAUAUCUUCAUACUCCGCUUUGUUUGUAUCAAGAUUCACAUGUCUAAUUAUCUGUUUUGCUGUAAUGCAAAGAACUAUUGUCUCUAUCUUUUUAACUUUUCCUAUUAUACAAAAUCACCUUCUGAUCGUUUGUAAUACACUAUUUUCUGAUAGUGGCUAUCGUUACACGGUCUAUUCCCUGUAAUUAUUGAUUUUGCUGCGACGGUUUUUAUUUCUUCAUCUAUUUCUACGCGUUGAAAUUCCUUUACAUUUGUGUGCACACUUUGUUUUUUUAAUU
rnacentral:lncRNA from 1 species